CGGCCUCUCCUGAUUUUUUUUUCUUUUUGCAAAGUCUUUGGAUUUGUUCUUUUAUUAAUUAUUAAAAAAACUAUAAUUUUCCUCUUCUGAUUUUUGAAACAGUAUGAACUUGCUCUUAGGGUGGUUUCGAAAGUGGUUUUCGCCGACGUAUAGUCACGAUGGAGAUAAAAUCGGACUGUGUUAAGCUGCCAAAGGUCGAUUGGGCUUUAUAAUGAAUUAAUUAGAGAAAUAAAUUUUCAAAAAAAAAAUUCAUAUGCUUUACUAAAAAAAACGUGCAACUAAAAAUCCUAAAAUAUGAUG
rnacentral:lncRNA from 1 species